rnacentral:rRNA from 1 species
AUACGGAGGGUGCAAGCGUUACUCGGAAUCACUGGGCGUAAAGCGCGCGCAGGCGGUCUUUUAAGUUGGAUGUGAAAGCCUACGGCUCAACCGUAGAACUGCAUCCAAAACUAUUAGACUAGAGUGUGGGAGAGGAAGAUGGAAUUAGUUGUGUAGGGGUAAAAUCCGUAGAGAUAACUAGGAAUACCAAAAGCGAAGGCGAUCUUCUGGAACACUACUGACGCUGAGGCGCGAAAGCGUGGGGAGCAAACAGGAUUAGAAACCCUAGUAGUCC